CCUACGGGGGGCAGCAGUAGGGAAUCUUCGGCAAUGGACGAAAGUCUGACCGAGCAACGCCGCGUGAGUGAAGAAGGUUUUCGGAUCGUAAAACUCUGUUGUUAGAGAAGAACAAGGACGUUAGUAACUGAACGUCCCCUGACGGUAUCUAACCAGAAAGCCACGGCUAACUACGUGCCAGCAGCCGCGGUAAUACGUAGGUGGCAAGCGUUGUCCGGAUUUAUUGGGCGUAAAGCGAGCGCAGGCGGUUUCUUAAGUCUGAUGUGAAAGCCCCCGGCUCAACCGGGGAGGGUCAUUGGAAACUG
rnacentral:rRNA from 1 species